rnacentral:rRNA from 1 species
GGCUAACGCUGGCGGCGCGCCUAACACAUGCAAGUCGAACGAACCUUCGGGUUAGUGGCAGACGGGUGAGUAACGCGUGGAUAAUGUGCCUUUUUGCUGGGGAUACCGUUUCGAAAGGAACGUUAAUACCGAAUGUGCUGGUUUGGUCGCCUGGCCGAGCUAGUAAACUGUUAGGGUGAGAAGAGCAGUCCGCGUUCUAUCAGCUUGUUGGUGGGGUAACGGCCUACCAAGGCUACGACGGAUAACUGGUCUGAGAGGAUGAUCAGUCACACUGGAACUGAGACACGGUCCAGACUCCUACGGGAGGCAGCAGUGAGGAAUCUUGCACAAUGGGCGAAAGCCUGAUGCAGCGACGCCGCGUGAGGGACGAAGGCCUUCGGGUUGUAAACCUCUGUCAGUGGGGAAGAAGAAUGACGGUACCCACUGAGGAAGCUUCGGCUAACUACGUG